rnacentral:rRNA from 1 species
GAUGAACGCUGGCGGCGUGCCUAAUACAUGCAAGUCGAGCGAACGGACGAGAAGCUUGCUUCUCUGAUGUUAGCGGCGGACGGGUGAGUAACACGUGGAUAACCUACCUAUAAGACUGGGAUAACUUCGGGAAACCGGAGCUAAUACCGGAUAAUAUUUUGAACCGCAUGGUUCAAAAGUGAAAGACGGUCUUGCUGUCACUUAUAGAUGGAUCCGCGCUGCAUUAGCUAGUUGGUAAGGUAACGGCUUACCAAGGCAACGAUGCAUAGCCGACCUGAGAGGGUGAUCGGCCACACUGGAACUGAGACACGGUCCAGACUCCUACGGGAGGCAGCAGUAGGGAAUCUUCCGCAAUGGGCGAAAGCCUGACGGAGCAACGCCGUAUGAGUGAUGAAGGUCUUCGGAUCGUAAAACUCUGUUAUUAGGGAAGAACAUAUGUGUAAGUAACUGUGCACAUCUUGACGGUACCUAAUCAGAAAGCCACGGCUAACUACGUG